rnacentral:rRNA from 1 species
UACGUACGAGGCGAGCGUUAUCCGGAAUUACUGGGCGUAAAGCGUGCGCAGGCGGUUUGUUAAGUCCGUUGUGAAAGCCCCGAGCUCAACUUGGGAAUUGCAGUGGAUACUGGCAGGCUGGAGUACGGUAGAGGAAGGUGGAAUUCCCGGUGUAGCAGUGAAAUGCGUAGAUAUCGGGAGGAACACCAGUGGCGAAGGCGGCCUUCUGGACCAGUACUGACGCUCAUGCACGAAAGCGUGGGGAGCAAACAGG